CCUACGGGUGGCAGCAGUGGGGAAUAUUGGGCAAUGGGCGCAAGCCUGACCCAGCAACGCCGCGUGAAGGAAGAAGGCUUUCGGUUUGUAAACUUCUUUUCUCAGGGACGAAGCAAGUGACGGUACCUGAGGAAUAAGCCACGACUAACUACGUGCCAGCAGCCGCGGUAAUACGUAGGGGGCAAGCGUGAUCCGGAUGUACGGGGGGUAAAGGGCGUGUAGGCGGGUACUCAAGUCAGAUGUGAAAACCACGGGCUCAACCUGUGGUCUGCAUUUGAAACUGUGUGUCUUGAGUACUGGAGAGGCAGACGGAAUUCCUAGUGUAGCGGUGAAAUGCGUAGAUAUUAGGAGGAACACCAGAGGCGAAGGCGGUCUGCUGGACAGCAACUGACGCUGAGGCGCGAAAGCGUGGGGAGCAAACAGGAUUAGAUACCCUUGUAGUC
rnacentral:rRNA from 1 species